GACGAACGCUGGCGGCGUGCUUAACACAUGCAAGUCGAACGGAAAGGCCCUGCGUUUGUGGGGUGCUCGAGUGGCGAACGGGGGAGUAACACGUGAGUAACCUGCCCUUGACUUUGGGAUAACUUCAGGAAACUGGGGCUAAUACCGGAUAGGAGCUCCUGCUGCAUGGUGGGGGUUGGAAAGUUUCGGCGGUUGGGGAUGGACUCGCGGCUGAUCAGCUUGUUGGUUGGGUAGUGGCUUACCAAGGCUUUGACGGGUAGCCGGCCUGAGAGGGUGACCGGCCACAUUGGGACUGCGAUACGGCCCAGACUCCUACGGGAGGCAGCAGUGGGGAAUAUUGCACAAUGGGCGGAAGCCUGAUGCAGCAACGCCGCGUGCGGGAUGACGGCCUUCGGGUUGUAAACCGCUUUCGCCUGUGACGAAGCGUGAGUGACGGUAAUGGGUAAAGAAGCACCGGCUAACUACGUG
rnacentral:rRNA from 1 species